AUUGAACGCUGGCGGCAUGCCUUACACAUGCAAGUCGAGCGGGGAAAGGUAGCUUGCUACCUAACCUAGCGGCGGACGGGUGAGUAAUGCUUAGGAAUCUGCCUAUUAGUGGGGGACAACAUUUCGAAAGGGAUGCUAAUACCGCAUACGCCCUAAGGGGGAAAGCAGGGGAUCUUCGGACCUUGCGCUAAUAGAUGAGCCUAAGUCGGAUUAGCUAGUUGGUGGGGUAAAGGCCUACCAAGGCGACGAUCUGUAGCGGGUCUGAGAGGAUGAUCCGCCACACUGGGACUGAGACACGGCCCAGACUCCUACGGGAGGCAGCAGUGGGGAAUAUUGGACAAUGGGGGGAACCCUGAUCCAGCCAUGCCGCGUGUGUGAAGAAGGCCUUUUGGUUGUAAAGCACUUUAAGCGAGGAGGAGGCUACCGAGAUUAAUACUCUUGGAUAGUGGACGUUACUCGCAGAAUAAGCACCGGCUAACUCUGUGCCAGCCGCCGCCGUAAAAC
rnacentral:rRNA from 1 species